rfam:Enterobacter cloacae S611 EDP2.NODE_1921, whole genome shotgun sequence.
CCCAGAGGUAUUGAUAGGUGAGCGCAACCCUACGUUGCAUACUCGACUUACACCGACCUGCGCAGAUGCGCAGGUUUUUUUU